GUGGGUGGUUCUGUAACGGCUGUUGUCGGGAGAAAGAGAGGACCAAGGUGCAGCAUGCGUGAGACUCCUGUGUCCUCCUGUCGGCUCCUGGUGUCAGUGUCACCAUGGCAACCGUCCAAAUAAGCAGGAAGUGUCGCUUUCCACCCAUGCGUAACAUAUGUCCCUAUCCUUCUUCAUCACGCUUCUUUCCUUUCAUUUAUCUUCCUCACCUCAUUGUACACCUUUCUCCCUCUCUCGACCUCCUCUGUUUUUAUCCAUACCUGUAGCCUAAUUGCUAUCUCUCUCCUUUCCUCUUCUCCCCUUACAUUAAUCUCUCACACUUUUCAUUUGUCUCUCUUCCUCCUUCCUCUUUAUAACCCCCCCCCCUCUCCCCCAUAUUAUCUAAUUUUAGAAAGUACACCCUGUCAGAUCAGAGAGAUCAGUGUUCCGUCAUACCGUCCAGUAGCCUCUGCAGGAAUGAUAUGUCUCUCUGAUAUCCAAUAUCUCCCUCCAUGGUUAAAUACAGGGACAGAAAAGUGCAGGCUCCAGUGGCUCAGUUGGUUAGAGUAUGAGGCUUGCAAUAUCAGGGAUGUAGGUUCGAUCCCCAGAUGACCUAUGAAGUGUCUAAACUUUUUGUAUAUUAUAUUAUACUGUAUUUGUUAUUUUUUUACUGUCUUUGUGUUACUCCUUCCCCCUAGACUCCAGGCCCUGAUUACGACCCGAGUUAAGCGUGCGUAAAUUGAACUUUACUCUCUAUGCAUAUUCUGACCUUGAACUUAAGCAUGGGUCUAGCGAACCUGCCAGUUCCAGGUGGAAAAAACGUGUACUUUAUUUUUUUCAUAUAGAAAUAACAGCAUUCUCCAUGCACUGUAAUUUCUGAAUGGAUAAGAGCUAUGUAAAUGCAUAAUCCGUUUGGAGAAGGGGAUUGUAAAUACACACAUCAAUUGUUUUAAGUGAUUUUUACUUAUGAUCCCUGGAGACGAAUGUGAAACCAGUGAUAUGGAAGCUAACUGAAAAGCAUGACAACAUGACAUGUCUUGCUGCCUCUUUCCCACAGUGAAAUAGGUUACAAACACACCAAGACAGCCUUGAAGAGGGCACGAAAAUGCCUUUCCCCCUCAGGAGAUUGAAAAGAAUAGGCAUGGGUCCCCAGAUCCUCAAAAAGUUUUACAGC
ensembl:lncRNA